GCCUUCAUAGUUUAAUAAAAACAUUAGUUUUGUAAACUAAAAUUGUCUUUCUAAGGGCU
rnacentral:tRNA from 1 species